UAGGGAAUCUUCCGCAAUGGACGAAAGUCUGACGGAGCAACGCCGCGUGAGUGAAGAAGGAUUUCGGUUCGUAAAACUCUGUUGUUAGGGAAGAAAAAAUGUAUAGUAACUAUAUACAAAAGAGACGGUACCUAACCAGAAAGCCACGGCUAACUACGUGCCAGCAGCCGCGGUAAUACGUAGGUGGCAAGCGUUGUCCGGAAUUAUUGGGCGUAAAGCGCGCGCAGGUGGUUUAGAAAGUCUGAUGUGAAAGCCCACGGCUCAACCGUGGAGGGUCAUUGGAAACUAAUAAACUUGAGUGCAGGAGAGAAAAGUGGAAUUCCUAGUGUAGCGGUGAAAUGCGUAGAUAUUAGGAGGAAUACCGGUGGCGAAGGCGACUUUCUGGACUUUUACUGACGCUCAGGUACGAAAGCGUGGGGAGCAAACAG
rnacentral:rRNA from 1 species